CCCAUCAAUACCGGUCUGUGGAUCCACAGGAGGAGUCAAAAUACAUUGUGUUUGAAAGCAAACUGAAGGAACUCUUUCGUGUAUGUACCACAUGUUUGAGUCCAUGCACUUCAUCAUUCAACUGUGUCGGAUCCCUCCUCCGAGUGAAAUGCUACUGUCCAGCAGCCACAUUUUCUGUUGGGAAAGCCAGCCGUAUAUAGCCAACAAGCCUGUUGGGAAUGUGCUUUUUUCACCGCCAUUCUAUUCAGUGGAGCCAGCCCAAUAGCAACACUGCAUAUGCUUCAACUGAUAAAUGUCAAGGCCAUCUGUGACAACACAUUUUUCGGCUGCCAGCGAGGCUACCAUCUUCCUGCAAUAACAGCGGUAUGGAUACAACACCGAGCCACACUCCUGGUUGAGAUGCAGGGCAAGAGAAUCAACUUAGCUGCUGACGGACGUUAUGACUCCCCUGGACAUAAUCCAAAAUACCUUUCGUACAACUUCUACAACUGGGAGUUGAACAAAGCCAUCCAUAU